rnacentral:lncRNA from 1 species
AGUGUCUGGAAGAAGUAGAGCCAGGAUCCACCCCUUCCCAGACCUCACUUAAGGGUUGGCAGCGGAGAUGAGGGCAUCUCUUGCUGGAGAUUCCUGCCUACCUGAGGCCUUAGAAAGCAUUGCUAGUAGGUGUUCCUAAGUGGACAGCAUCUUGGAAAUGAAGGGUAGGAUGGAUGAUUGGAUGAUAAAGAAUACAGAGAUGAAACAGUCGGAGACAAAAGGAAAGAAGCACAGAGAUAUAAAAUGGCAGAGAGGUCACUGCCAUUGCUGAAUCCAGUAGUGUGCAUGUGAAAAACUGCUUGAUAUCUUCUUUUGCUUCUGUUGCACUGGGCUACUGCGAUCUACUCAAAUGGCAAAAGGUGCUCUGUGAAGGGAGCAUGAAGAAGUUGUGAAAAGUCACUGUUGUCUCCUCCACUAGUUUAGUAGACCACACACUGCAGAAGGCAUCAAAAAGAGGUAAGGUGUCCUGACAUGAAUUAGUGGGUAUGUUUAAUAACCAGCAGGGUGAACUGACUUGACCAUCAGAAAGACAAGGAAAGAAGCUGGAAGAUCGAGUGUUUGCAAAUCAGCCUGCUCUUAGUUAAAGCCAAGGCAGAGUGGCUUAAUAUAUGUGUCUGUAAAUACAGUAGGAUAGAGUGGGAAUAUAAUACUAGAAUGGUAUUAUUUUAGGUCAGAUCUGGUUUUUGUAGUGUUUUCAGGGAAUAAAAAUUCAAACUGCAACAUGGGUCAAAAUGUAUGGCAGAAAUCAGUUGUAUUUUCUCCUUGUAGGUUUGAUUAUAGUUGACCAAUGUCAUCUCUUCCUUCUAUGGUACCCAGAAAGCACACUGGUGGCAAGCAGGCUGGAUACAAGGUACCAGGAACACUCAGUGUUUACUUCAGUGCCCUUUUAAGAUGAUUGUAUGUAUGACAAUAUUAAUCUGCUGUGCAUUUACAUAUUCCUGAGAGAAGUCACAGUUGACAAAGAAGUUCCAUACUUUUUUGGGAAGACUGUUUCACUGCACUGUUUUAUGCUUCUAGAUCCAAAUAUCUACUGCAGGAGUUGUUACUGGUUACAGACUUGGUUUUUGUUGCUUUGUUGUUGUUUGUUUUGUUUUGUUUCUGUGCUCUGGUAGGCACUCUUCCCUACCAUAUUUCAUGGGCUGGAUCUUGAAAUCUUCUGUUACUGCCUUCCUAUUCCUCAAGCCCUCUGGCCAGGGUUUGCCCCAUUAUGGAAAUUAACAACCAAAGGGAGGGGUUACUUUGCAGUAGACAUAUUCUGUGUGGCCAGCUCUGGCUUGUUUGAGGAGAUUCCUGCUGACUUGUUUGCUUGAGGAAACUUACAGCUUGGCAAAUAAGUUGCACAACCUGCUUUCUUGUGCAUCAGAAAGGGCUUUUUUGCAUGCACGUAUGUCUGUGUUUGUGAUGCCCUGCCUAGUUCUGUUGCAUAGUACUUUGAGACGUUGCCUGUGGGGGCUAAGGCAUUUUGUGUGCCUUCUGUGUCAAGCAGGUCUUACACUCUGUGCAUGUGGUAGUGUUAAUAUGGGUGUGUCCUGGGGGCAAGUUUAUUAAUACAACUAAAGAUAAUGGCCUUGGCAACAUCUUGAAGCAUCCUGCUCCAUUAAAUUAUAGACUCUGUGGAGACAAAGAGAUUAGGGAGAGCAAGGAAGAUUAUUCCACACAACAAUUUAUCAUUGUAAUUUGCUAGUUUUACAAACUUUGCAGAAUUAAGUGAGAAAAAUGAGAUGCCUUAAAUAUGCUGAAGUUCCUGCUACUAGAACUGAUGUAUGAUUAGCUCCACCUUACCAGUUUGUAACCAAGGAUACAGAAAGCAGUGUAUGUUUAUACAGCAAUGAGUAAAAACACUCAUAAACGAUUUGUGUCAUGUUUGAGAGAUACAAGAAUGCAAAGAAAAAAAGAAACAACCACCAAAAUAGAGCAUUGAACAAUCCUACCGACUCAACACUCGCGAAUUCAUAAUAUCAAUAAAUAUAAAUACUUCAAGACGGGGCCAUGACUUCUUGUACAAAGGCUGCUCCAAAAGUAAUGCCUCCUUUUUUUAUUAUGUUGACCCGUGAGAUCAGAGGCAGAUGUUGGUAUGGCAGUAAAGGCUGAACCUUCCUAUCAGUACCCCUUUACAUUCUGUUGCCACGUGACAGAUGGCAGCAGAGGGGCAAUCUGACACAAUAAUGUCUGACAUGAGAGUGUGUAUGAAGCAAAGGUGUGAAACAGAGUUCCUCCAUGUGGAAGAAAAAUGCCACCCAUUGACAUUCAUUGAUGUUUGCUUAACAUUUAUGGAUACCAACUCAUGGAUGUGAGCCCAGUGAGGAGUGUAUGGUGCAUUCAGCAGAGGCAACAGUGGUAGUAGAUCACCUCCUCUGGUGUACAUUGUUACGAGUGCAGCAUGCAGCUCUUGUUCAUUGCUGGUGAAAAAGCAGAGCUAAUAGUGAUGACUGUGUUGAAAAGUAAUGUUUUAUACCUGACAAUGUGGUCUAUCAAAUAGUGUUAUUGCAUUCUUUGUAUCUGUUGUAGUUUCCAUGGAAAUAAAUAGGAGGCAUUACUUUCAGAGUGACCAAUGUAUGUUCCUACCACACUCCAUAUGGUGACAUUGCAGUCUGGUCUGAGUCUGGUUACCUGGGCAAUGAGUUUCUAUGCAUACAGUAACUAGUUAUUUCUCAUAAAGAUUUUUUUGGCUGCUUUGCCCAUUCCUUGUGUAAUCCAUCUCUCACCAUCUUCUUUUUCUGGAGUGUCUCAGAUGUUCCCAGUGUCUCCACUGGAUUUUCAUGACAUAUGCACCACCUCCAGCCUUUCACAGUACACAACUGUGCUAUGAGGACCUUCAUGUCUCAGAGUACCAGGACCAGCUUUGUCAUGCAUCCCCUGAGAUAUCGUACAUAGUGAAUUAUGUCCUAAUGAAGCAAAGAUGGAAUCCUUACAGUCUUCCCGGCUUCGGAUAUUUUUAUUGCACAAAAGAAACUAUAUUUUGCCACUUUCAAAUCAAAACUAAUAGAAUUGGUUUUCUAAUACAAAUAAUAAGAUCAGUGCAUGACUCCCAGCACAGGUUUCAGAAUGGUUGAAUGGAGUAUGACAGAUGUUGGUGUAUUUGGUGAACUCUCUCCCUGCUUGAGUUUAUUGACGCCACUGAAGGAAAGAGUUGAAAACUUACGAGCAGCCUUUGGUAGUAAUGGUGAAACUACCAGGAGAACGAACCGGUUCGUGGAGAUGUUGAACAACUCCGAGCAGCUCUCUAUUCGCGCACAUACAGAGCAGCUGAGACCCACAGAGCCAAAGUCAGAACCCGACUAACGUGGGUUUAAGGGGAAGAAGAGAGUUUUUCUUAUGGAAGCAGCUCGUCCCGCACUGCCCCCGUCCCAGCUCAGAGCAGCGGCGGUCCGGAUGCAGUGAUGCCCAGCGGCCGCCAGGGGGCGCUGUGACCCCACCGACUCCCGGACCGGCGCCGCGCGGAGCGCUCGUGGAGCCGCGAGCAAACCCAAGUUGGAAAUCCUUUUUGUCUUCAGAUGUUCCGAGCCACUAUUCCAGCAAAGGAAAUGAAAAAGGGAAACUAAACGAGCUUUCUUCUCCCCCCCCUCCUCCCCCCCCGACCUCUCUCUGGUUUCUAUUUGUAAUACUUUAUUUCUACAACAAGCACAAACCACUACAAAGAC